CGAGGUGUAGUCUAGCGUACGACUACUUUCUUCUGCAGAUACAACCUAACGUACGGUUCAUUCUGCAACUCCAACACGGUCUAACGUACGACCCGUUUGGAUCUUCAAACCCUCAGAUACUGCCUAGCAUACGGUACAUUCCGGGGUGUAGUCUAGCAUACGACUACUUUCUUCUUCAGAUACAACCUAACGUACGGUUCAUUCUGCAACUCCAACACGGUCCAACGUACGACCCGUUUGGAUUUUCAAAUACUCAGAUACGAUCUAACGUACGAUCCAU
rnacentral:lncRNA from 1 species